ACGAUCCUGCCACGGCCGUCGACCCAAUGCCGAUCAUGGUGGAUACACCGGUCAUCCCCGAGCUUCCAUCAGUCGAAGAGAUUGACUCCGAAGGAUGAUCGCGGCUUUACCUUCCUUUGUUGUUUUUGUUUUUCUUUGCGCACUUGUAACCGGGCUUCGGCCUGAUUUUGUAGUUAAAUGAACUUAAGAAAUUUCUGAUUUCCUUUUUGACUUCCUUUUCUUUCCUGUCGGGAUGUACUUGUAAUCGUGGGG
rnacentral:lncRNA from 1 species